rnacentral:rRNA from 1 species
UACGUAGGUGGCAAGCGUUGUUCGGAAUUAUUGGGCGUAAAGGGCGCGUAGGCGGUUUGUUAAGUCGGCUGUGAAAGCCCGGGGCUCAACCCCGGAGGGUCAGCCGAUACUGGCAGACUAGAGUACGGAAGAGGUAGCUGGAAUUCCCGGUGUAGCGGUGAAAUUCGUAGAUAUUGGGAAGAACACCGGUGGCGAAGGCGGCUAUCUGGACCGACAUUGACGCUGAGGCGCGAAAGCGUGGGGAGCAAACAGG